GAUGAACGCUGGCGGCGUGCUUAACACAUGCAAGUCGAACGGAAAGGCCCAAGCUUGCUUGGGUACUCGAGUGGCGAACGGGUGAGUAACACGUGGGUGAUCUGCCCUGCACUUCGGGAUAAGCCUGGGAAACUGGGUCUAAUACCGGAUAGGACCACUUCUUGGAUGUUGUGGUGGAAAGUUUUUUCGGUGUGGGAUGAGCUCGCGGCCUAUCAGCUUGUUGGUGGGGUAAUGGCCUACCAAGGCGUCGACGGGUAGCCGGCCUGAGAGGGUGUACGGCCACAUUGGGACUGAGAUACGGCCCAGACUCCUACGGGAGGCAGCAGUGGGGAAUAUUGCACAAUGGGCGCAAGCCUGAUGCAGCGACGCCGCGUGGGGGAUGACGGCCUUCGGGUUGUAAACUCCUUUCGCUAGAGACGAAGCGUUUUUGUGACGGUACCUGGAGAAGAAGCACCGGCUAACUACGUG
rnacentral:rRNA from 1 species